rnacentral:rRNA from 1 species
UGGGGAAUAUUGGACAAUGGGCGCAAGCCUGAUCCAGCCAUGCCGCGUGAGUGAUGAAGGCCCUAGGGUUGUAAAGCUCUUUCACCGGUGAAGAUAAUGACGGUAACCGGAGAAGAAGCCCCGGCUAACUUCGUGCCAGCAGCCGCGGUAAUACAAAGGGGGCUAGCGUUGUUCGGAUUUACUGGGCGUAAAGCGCACGUAGGCGGACUUUUAAGUCAGGGGUGAAAUCCCGGGGCUCAACCCCGGAACUGCCUUUGAUACUGGAAGUCUUGAGUAUGGUAGAGGUGAGUGGAAUUCCGAGUGUAGAGGUGAAAUUCGUAGAUAUUCGGAGGAACACCAGUGGCGAAGGCGGCUCACUGGACCAUUACUGACGCUGAGGUGCGAAAGCGUGGGGAGCAAACAGG